rnacentral:rRNA from 1 species
UACGGAGGGUGCAAACGUUGCUCGGAAUCAUUGGGCGUAAAGCGCACGUAGGCGGCCUGUUAAGUCGGGUGUGAAAGCCCUGGGCUCAACCCAGGAAGUGCACUCGAAACUGGCGGGCUUGAAUAUGGAAGAGGGUCGCGGAAUUCCCGGUGUAGCGGUGAAAUGCGCAGAUAUCGGGAAGAACACCUAUGGCGAAGGCAGCUCUCUGGGACGGUACUGACGCUGAGACGCGAAAGCGUGGGGAGCGAACAGG